GCUGGGGCCACCCAUGUGGCUGUGAGAGGACGGGGGUGGCCGGGCCCCCCCAGGGCCCCCCCAGGGCCCCCCGAAGCCGCCCAGGCUCCGCAGCCCGCCCAGGCGCCAUGACCUGUCCGGCCGCUGAGGGACCCCCGGCGCCCGGGGGCCACCGAGAGACUGAAGCCCAGCCGGGCCCCGAGGCCCAGCGCGGCCCCACGGUGCCACACAGCUCUGAGGGCCACCAAGAGACUAAAGGCUCCGUGGCCACCACAGGAUCCGUGGCCAGCUGGACCUCCGCGGUCAGCCAGGACCACCGAGAGACCAAAGCCCACCUGGGCUCUGUGACCCACCUGGGCUCCCAGGACCACGGGGAGAGCGAGGCCCACCUGGGCUCUGUGGCCGACCAAAACUUCGUGGCCAACCAGGACCACGCCGAGCCUGGUGCUGAUGGUGGCUCCGUGGUGCUGUUGGACUCCAAGAUCUCCCAAAGCUCUGAGGAGCACCUGGGGACUCAGGUCAGCCGUGUCCCUGUGACCCACCUGGUGUCUGUGGCCACCCAGGAGCACCUGGAGGUGAAGGUGCAGGAGGAAGCCGUGGGCAGCCGAGGUUCUGCGGGCAGCCAGGACCACCCAGAGCCCAGCAGCGACGUCUCACUGGACUCCAAGGUCAACCAGGGUUCCAUGGAUCGCUUAAACCUGAAGGGCCACCAAGACCUCGCCCCCUCCCAGGCCUCCGAGGACCCCCAGGAGCCCAAGGUCACCCAGGGCCCUGUGGCCAACCAGAAGACCAAGGUCAACCAAAGCCCCGCAGCCCCUGUAGAGGCCAAGGUCAACCAAGACCCCGUGGUGUGUUUAGACUUGAGGGUCCACCAAGCCCCUGUGGCCAACCCAGCGCCCGAGGACCCCCGAGACCCCAAGGCCAACCAAGACCCCGUGGACCACCCGGACACGCAAGCCCCCGUGGCUCUUACAGACCAGAAGGUCCCCCAAGCCCCCGUGGCUGAGCACAACCCCGCGGACCCCCAGGAGACCGAGGUCAAGCACAGCCCUGUGGAGCUGAGGGUCCCUCGGGCCACCGCGGUGGCCAAGGGAGGCUGCACUGCCCGCCACCAACCCC
rnacentral:lncRNA from 1 species